rnacentral:rRNA from 1 species
UACGAAGGGGGCUAGCGUUGUUCGGAAUUACUGGGCGUAAAGCGCGCGCAGGCGGUCUUCCAAGUCAGUGGUGAAAGCCCGGAGCUCAACUCUGGAACUGCCAUUGAAACUGUAAGACUUGAGGAUGAGAGAGGUGAGUGGAAUUCCCAGUGUAGAGGUGAAAUUCGUAGAUAUUGGGAAGAACACCGGUGGCGGAGGCGGCUCACUGGCUCAUAUCUGACGCUCAGGCGCGACAGCGUGGGGAUCAAACAGG